GGUUAGAUGUUCAUCUCUUAAAUAUUAAUUAACCUCAAUGGAAUAAUAAACUAAAUAUAAAUGAAAUUAUUUCAAUUAUUAAGAUUUGCAGGCGAGAAUUCAAUAUUUUGGAGCUAUCUCCAUUAAAUAUGUUUAAUUUUCGAAUAGAACAAGAUUAUAUUAAGGUUAGGUUCAUUUUUGGAAUUAGGGUUUGUUAUUGGGCAAUAACAAUAACACUGUUCUAUUUAUGACUUAUAAGUAUAAUUUUAAUUCUUGUAUUAUUCAUCAUUAACACUAAAUUCGUAGUAGUACGUGUAAAUCAUAUUUUUCAUAUCUAUGUAAACAUAAUUUGAUUAUAUUUUCAUAUUUAAACGGGAAGGAAAAGCAAUGCUUAGAAUCAAACUAAGAUAUAUUUUAUAUGGGAAAUUUGAAGAUUUGCACUCAAAACGUGUCUACAAAUUUGUCAUUAUUUGAUAGAAUGUAUAAUUAAAAACGUUGAUGGGGGCAGUUGCAAGUUAAACAUUAAAUUUACCAGGUUAAAGUUUAUUCUGGAACAGCACAUCUAAAGGACCUAGAGCAACUGUUUCAUGCAAAUUAAAGUUAUUGAUCAAGUUAUAGAAGACACUUCAAUGUUACCAUCGAUGAACAUAAAGUCUCGGCUGGAUCCAUCUUGAAUCGUAAUACAUUUGAAAACAAAUAUGAAACUUGAGCUGACAACUCUUAAAUUGAAAAAAGAUUUGAAAAGUACCUUAUGCCUCCAAUGUAAAAGCAGCCAAUGUUUCGGUAUGAAAGUGUUAUCAAAGAUAAGGAUGGAAAGGGUGAAUUUCAUUACUAUUCAAUAUCCUGAUGUUUCUUUUGUUGAAAAAAUAAAUAAAGAAUUAAAAAUGAAUACACCAAACAAAGUGACAUUUAUAAGUUGGAAUAUCAUUUUAAUAUAGAAUAAAAGUUCCAAAACUGUAGCAUCUUAUUAGUAGUUUUACAUAAAUGAAAGUAAGUGUGUUAAUAAUUCGAAAAUUAUACCAACAAUUUAAUCAACUAUUAAAUUAUCAGGAGAUAAAGCAUGGUGGAAUGUGAGUAUGGAUUAGAUUUUCUGGUUCAUUUAGUACCAAACUGAAAACAAAAUUUCAAAAUGGAAGAUCCCGUUUGUGCAAUUUAUGGGACUGACAUAUUGGUGCAUUGCUUACUUGUGAUGGACUGUUAUCGAUUUCACUCGAGUGAAAUCAACGUAUAUUUGUCAGAGUUCAACCUUGAUUUGGAUCCAAUAGAGCAGCACCUCUGGGAUGUUGUAAAAAUAUUAGUUUGGUAUCUUUAUCUUUAUUGAGGUUGCUAUUUUCUUUUCAAGGGGAAAACAUCACUUAAACAACCAUCCAAAACUCACUAAUCCUUUUAGAACAAAUACAAAUCACGUUACUGAAGUUAUUUUUUUUUUGAGAAUAAGAAUUUUUUUUAUUUUUAUAAUUUUAUUUAAUGGUCAAAUUUCGUAUAAUUCUGAAAGUUUAAUUUAAAAUGAAUGUUUUGUGUGUGAUUACCUUUGAUCAUAUCACACGAAUGGAUAAUUUUAAAGUACCGAAAAAGAUAUCGAGAGAGGGGUAAAGAGAAAAAAGAAAGAACAAUGAAGAAAUGGGGAUAGAAGAGGUGAAGAAAGGUAUAAGAAAGUUUGGGAGGAAGAGGCAUAUGACAGAAUCAAAUGGAGAAAAGCGGUCUGUUUUAUAUUAUAUAGAGUGUCCCACAUAACAACCGACUCAUAGCAGAGGCGUACAGGGGUUGUCAAAAAAAGGCGAUUGGGGAUCAUUCAUCUCUGUGUCUCCCCUAUGACUAUUCGAAAUAUAGUUUUUCAUUGCGACUUAGAAAAGGAACUUACAUUGUGGAUGUACCUCGUAUGAAGGAAAUACUAGAAUCAGUUAUUAAAACUUUUUAUUCAAAUUUUUCUAGAAAUUUUGAUCCGAAUUAUUGCAUCAAAUUUUGAUGGAAAUGAUUUUUUUUUGUUAUUUAUUGAGUGAGCAGAACUUUGAUCAGUUGUUGUUGGUUUUUGUACUUUUGGGAAUUGUAGGAAUAUUUUAUUGAGAUUAAUAUAGUUACAGAUAUUAAUUAAUGAAGAUUAAUGAAGAAAAAUAGAUUGAAUUUAUUUUUUAAUAACUUUUUUAACAUUCAUAAAGUUUUAACAAACAUCCAAUUAAACUUACAAGACAAUGUUUUCGAAAUCUUUAGGGAUCUUUUGAAAUAUAAAGUUAAAUUUGAAUAUUUUAUUUGUUUUUAAUCUCGAUAGAAUUGAUUAUGUUGUCAUUAGAAUUUUGUGUAAAAAUUAGGGAAAUGGAAUGAAAUAUGAAAUCGAAAUAUACAGGAAACAGUGUUAAAAAAAUUAUAUCUUCCCUUUGUGGACAAAGAUAUGUGAGUACAAAUCAUUUUACGUAUCAGAUUAACUCCCUAACUCUAAAUCAUAAACUUCAAUAAUAUUUGUAUAGUUAGUCAAAUUACUUAUAAUUUUACCAUCUUUAAACAUUACUAUUGAAGUAAUGAACGCUCUGUAUAAUUAGUAUCCAAGCAAGAUUUAUACUCAAAGAUCGUACAAUUAAACCUCAUUUUGGAAAAUUUUCUCAAUUGUUCCAAGCAAUUACUCAAGGAUUUUUAUAAUCUGUAUGAAUUCCUUUUCACUGAUUAGUAAUUUUAGCCAAUAGGUAUAUGUUCAGAAAAACAAUGGUUAUUCUAUAAGAAAUUGUUAUGGUGUUUGUAGAGUGUUUAUAAUUCAAUGUUUUUAAAGGUUUACAAUGGAUUCUGGUGUGUUUAUUUUAAAAAUCUUUCGUUUAUAUUAUAUUCUGUUAUUGACCAUUAUUAGACCCUUUUUUUGUUGAAAGUAUCCUUGGGUUGAUAUUCAUAUUUGAAGAAUAUCAUGUCGGGUGCAGUUUAGGAACCCUUUUUAUCUGUUUGUAGAAUAGUUUGUUUACAUUAUAUCGAGGGUUUAAUACCGAUAACGAGAAAUGACCUUGCAGCCCCUUUUUAGAUGCCUUCAUCUUUGUUGGAAGAAUUUCUUAUUUACUUCACAUUACCAAUUUAUUUUUGAUAUUCAUCAGAAAAAUAACGUUUAAUAGAAUAUUUUCUGAUAUCGUUUGUCUAAUUUGGGGAUGAGGACAACCCUACAUUAUGGGAAGUUUUAAAAUCACAGAAUUCUGGAUAUCAAGUUAAUAAAAAUGUUUUGAUUUGGUCUUUAUACAUAUGCAGCUAAUUUUUUGGAACUUGAAAUAAAUUUCAGUAACAUUGCUUCAAAUUCUACGAUCCUUAAUUAAUAUAAAAAUUUUCAUGUACCUGUAAUCACUAAUGAAAGUACUAAUUUGAAAAACGAAGUUAUGUCGUAAAACAUUAAAAGUAUACAGAUUCCCAAAAGAAAAUUACUAUUAUUUGCUGCCCAUAACCUCUACUUAUAUGGUCAUUUAAUAAUAUUAAGUUAUUGUGAAUUGUAAUAAUUAAAUCUAUGCCAUGUUUUAUUGUAUGUAUUAUAUCUAUUAUCAUUAAAUAUUUAAAACUUUCUUAGAAAUAUUAUUAAAAAUAUAUCUUUCUUUAUAUUGCUUUAUAUAUUUUAUCUUUGAAAACAUCAUUUUAUUCAAUAUGUAAAUUAUAUAACAAAAUAUGUAAUAUUUAAUUACUUAUUAUUUAAUAAAUCAAAACUUUACAUCUUCUCAGUUCA